UUGAGAUGACAAUUCAAUCAAUCGAUACUAAAUAUGAAUGUUAGCCUAAAUAUCAACUAUGAUCGUAAUGAUAGAAAAAUUAACAAUGAAGAGACCCUUGAAAUUGUUGUUCUCCUAGAUAAAUCUCACUAGAUUAUGUAUAUUUAAAAUAAUUAAUUUCUCCUAAAAGUUAAACCUGAAGAAAAGGUAUGAGGCUAGGGCAUGCAGCUUCUGGAGAAACAACGGAAACUAAUAAGUUCGAUAUGGUCCAGACGGGUUGAAACUGACAUUUUUUCAAAAAUUCUGGAGUAUUAAUGGGAACGAUGUUGUAGCUGGUUGUAUUUCUUGGUUAAAUAAGCAUUAGAGUUUUUGCAAGACUGGUGUAGUGCUGGCAUGUUCUCUCAUCAUUUGCCUGGCCACGAUUCUAAUCAUAUGGAGCUGUGCUUUGGUUACCAAGGAACAACUGAAUGGCAAGUAUUUGUGGAUGCUGCUCUUUUUCUGAAUCUGCAGAUGUCAGGCUUUGGUGCAAUUUGUGAAACACUUAAAGGCCCGUUCUCUAGCUCUGUCUUUGGGUGGUUUUAUGGCAUUGGGUCAGUGGCGUUGACAGAAGCUAUGGCUCUCCGUCAAGCUUUAAUAUGGGCUAAAUCAUCAUUUCCCCUUCCUGGAUGUUUAUUCACAUACUCUCAAUUUUUUCUUCAUGUGUAGUGAUCACAAAUGGAGAACCUUUCUGAUUUUGGUGCUGUUGUUUAUGAUUGUAAGUGCAUUUUGGAGCGUAUGCCUAAUAUUUCUGUUUCUUGGAUUCGUAGGCAAGAUAAUAAGGGGGCUCAUUGUCUAGCUCGAACCUCCUAUAGAUUUUUCUCUUUUUAGGUUAUAGGAAGUCAUUCGCGAUUGUUUAGCUCAUUAUUAUUCUCUUGGUUAAUACAACAGUAUUUCCCUUCAAAAAAAAAAAAAAAAAAAAAAAA